GACCAUUAGACAUGGCAAACGCCAGCUCUAGGGCUCCAAAGUGCGGAAAUGUGCCCGUUCACACGGAUCCAAAGUAGAAGAAGUCAUCUGGGCAUCAUUGCGUCGUGUUUGGAUGCCAAAACAACCAGCGGAAAAGGAGCAGGUUGCUUAGCGCUGUUUGCGAAGAGCACAACACACGUAGGGAAUCGUGCCGGUGCGGUGUUUUCAGCCUGCGCCGAUUUCCAUCCGCAACGAAGAAUGCCAAGCUGCGUCACCGGUGGAUAGCUGCAGUGAAUAGGAAGAACUACCAACCCAGUGAAAAUGCACGAGGAGCGCCAACAAUCCGAUGGCCUCGCACAAGCAAAACAGGUCUGGUACCAGGUAGCUGCAGUUGUGUGCAGGUGGUGAAGGGCAGGCGUCUGCUAACCAGGCAGUCAAACGACCUCGCCAGUUGGUUGCCAAGCGCGGCCAACCCAGUAGAGACCAUUACAAACAAGACCAAACUGAAAGUGCAGAUGACAGUGUUCUGCGUGCUUUAAUAAUAUAUGGCACCAACACAGUGCUGUAAAUUCCUUCACAGGUUACGUGCCAAAAAGCUCACAGGUGUUCUAGCAUAUAGCGCGCGGUUUGUACAAACGUAAUAGCGUACCUACCCGAUGUAUUCGCUUCUGCAGUCUGCACAGCACUCAGUGUGUCCAUUGUGGACUUGCACGAGGUCUUGAAGUUUGAUUGAAUCCAGACAGCGAAAAUGACAGGUUAGAAAAAACGUGAAACACGCCUUCCGCCCAGCUAAAAAGCCCAAGUUUCGCUUUCGCGCCGGGUCGCAUCUCCCGGCGUGGCAGCCCAGGCCUGCUACUUCGCGGCGCUUGGGAUAGAUGGCGGGACCGGUGCUCAUCAAUAUGGCAGCGCCCUUUGAAUUCACGGUGUUCUGGUGUAUAGAGGGGAUGGCAUCUCGGCUGGCGCAGCGCAACCGACGUAGCGUGACUGACCGCGAACGACGCUCGCCCCCGCGCCGAUAACGUCGGACUAUAAACGGGCCUUAACAGUUUUUGGCAGGUGACAGGCGGUCAUCGACAAAAGGGUAACCAAUGUACGCGUGCCAAUAAUGGCAGUGAUUAUGUUGGGUAUUCGUUGUGAGGGGCAGGGCGGCUUAUCAUUUCAAAUACAUUCUGUAUAGCGUGUUUAUCUGUACUUGUGUGUCCUGUUUCAACCACAUUGCAGCAUUUGACGCAUUAAUGAACACUUAAAGCCGUGUAUUGAUUGGUUCCGAUGUCCAUUCUGCUGGCUUGUAUGAUAAUUAUGGAACCACUCACCAUUGCUAUCUACAAAUGUUACGUGAUAUAGACCUAACAGACUAUUCGUAUUGUGGAUUGUUCGUUUUACCAGAUCAUCUGCCUUCUGGUUACGGCAAUGAGGGUGGAAAGAUAUUAUCAGUGCAUUUCUCCAUAAUCGAUGCAAACUUGUUUUAUACAGGCGGUGGUAGACAUAUGUAAUAAGAAUAUCUUUCAGUGAUAUACACCGCUAUGACCAGAGUAUAAUAUCAGUCGCCAUAAUACAGAAUAAGCAAGUGUGCAAUAAAAAAAAGUAGGCUUGGCGAGCAAUAUGCCCCAUUAUAACCAAAUGCCACCACGAAGCAGAACAUUUGCCUUAUUUUAUUCAUUUUCAGAGCUACUUUGAUUGAAGGUCAACUCAUUCUUGAUAGGAAAACCUCCGAAUCAUGAAGUGGGUGAACAACAGAGAAGUGCGGUACCUAUGUAUUCACGUCGCUGAUGUGGACACUAGGAAUUAAAAGG